rnacentral:rRNA from 1 species
AUCCUGGCUCAGAACGAACGCUGGCGGCGUGCCUAACACAUGCAAGUCGUGCGAGAAAGUCACUUCGGUGGCGAGUAGAGCGGCGCACGGGUGAGUAACACGUGGUAACCUGCCCUCGAGUCUGGGAUAACCCGGGGAAACUCGGGCUAAUACCGGAUACGGCCGUGAGGUCUUCGGAUCUUGCGGAGAAAGACGGCGCUCCUUCGGGAGCUUUCACUCGAGGAUGGGGCCUGCGUCCCCAUUAGCUAGUUGGUGAGGUAACGGCCCACCAAGGCAAAGAUGGGUAGCUGGUCUGAGAGGAUGGCCAGCCACACUGGAACUGAGACACGGUCCAGACUCCUACGGGAGGCAGCAGUGGGGAAUUUUUUUGGGCAAUGGGCGAAAGCCUGACCCAGCAACGCCGCGUGUGGGAUGAAGGCCCUCGGGUCGUAAACCACUGUCAGGAGGAAAGAACGGCCGGCCGGAUAAUACUCGGUCGGUUUGACGGUACCUCCAAAGGAAGCGCCGGCUAACUCCGUGCCAGCAGCCGCGGUAA